GCGGUGGUUCCACAUAAGCGGCUCGCGGUCACCACUUCUUUCAGGUCACUCUCGGGUUUCCCGGCCACCAUAAAGGGCCACGUCUGCGGGAAAGAAGAGGGUGGAGGAGGAUAUACUAAAAGAAGACAGAUCAGUCUCUCUCCUGAUAAGAAGAGUCACCAAGAGGAACAUCUGCAACAACUAGAUGCUGCUACAAAGAGACCAAUCAACAACUGCUCAGCAGAGAUACAGAUCUGAAGCACAGAAGUGCAAUAGACCUUCCUGAUGCCUUCGCCAGACAACACGAACCUGCAAGUAAUCAUCCGACCAACUUCCUCUACUGCUUGGGAAUUGCAGGUUGUAUAAUCUUGGGAGGUCACUUCAACUAUACAAUUGGACUAAGAACACUGACUCUCGUGGGUGUUAUAAUUAAAUCAGGUAAUAUAUGGUAAGGUAAGCAUUGAUUAGUCUCUUCAUUAGUUGAUUAGCCUCUUCAAAUGUUAGUUUGAUUAGUCUCUUCAAACGUUAGUUUCCUUCCUCUUUUCAGUAUGCUCGCUGAAAAGCUGGCUACAGAGCGAGUGACUGAAUCAAAGCAUCACAUCCUACAUGCUCCCAUUCCCCAUCUUGCUACAGUGGUACCAGCUUCUGUGCCCAGAAGAUGGUGCUGUGGUUGGAUGAAUAAAACAAUUACAGGGCCUUCAAGGAUAAGAAGAAGGAACAUGGAUAAAUAUCCCCAUUCUGCCUAGACAGAAAUAAGAAAAACAUUCCCUUUUCUCUUCUUUAAAACGAAUUCUUGAGUCAUGCAUGGCAACAAUAUGUGUUGCCAAAAGUGGCCAGUUUGUGGUAGUAGGUUUUAUUCAGAAAAUCAGUGGGUGAUGAAAAUUUAGAAGAUGCACUCAUCAUUUGUAAAACUGUAGAUGAAAGUUUAAAAGAUGAUGUUAUACCACUUUUUCUUCACUGCCCUCAUCAGUGGCUCCAUCCCACCCUCCUGCUGUUCUCAUAACUGAUGUAGAAAUAAUUUCAUGAGCCAAACAGGAUGGUUUUAUACGUGUGUGUUUGGCAUUAACUUUAUUUCCUAUUCACGUACCAGAUAUUACUGCCCGCUCUUAUGAAAUAGUUUAUUCCACCAUAAAUGUAUGUUUUAAUGAUCACCACAUUUUUUUGGAAUACAUUAAUCUGUCUAAAAAUAGGUGAUUAAAUCAUCUGUCAUUCUGCUGUGAAGCUCUUUAAUGUUUUCUUUGGGAAAUAAAUUAGAAUGCCAUAUUGGUUUCCAAGCAGACAUAAGCUGGCGAUGACUUUUUUGUACAAAAGUUACUGAUGAAAAGCUCAUAGAGGCAUUUGGAUUUCUUCAGGGUUGUAAAUCCAGGUAUGUUACUACUUUAUCUACUGGAAAUUGGGGUAAUGCAGGAGAUGGGAAAGCAUGAUGUUAAAUCAACUGGUGACCCCAAAUAAUUUUCCAUGGUGUUCAUCAGCCAUGCACACACUGUAUUACUGUCAUCAUUCCUAGCUUUUCCACUAUGCUGUCUCAAGUUUGCACAAAUUGUAAGUGAUUUUAAAUCAUUAACUGAUGUGACAUAAUCAAAUUACUUAGGGUUUUAUUUACUGUGCUCCGAGUAAUUCAGUUAUGACUUGGCAAGGUAUUUAACAGACAAUAGUGAAGUUACUACAAAUUCAACUUUGCAUUGGACAACUCCAUUUGAGGAUACCACCACCUUCAAAUUAACAAUUCCAGAAACUGGUCUCAGUAUCUCGUUCCAACAACAAGCAUCACCCACUACAAUAAAAACAGCAAGUAGAAUCUUUUUACUUCUUUUGUGUUUCUCAUCUCGGCAAACUGCACUACAAUCUACCAAACUGCCCGAGCCAGAAACCUAGAGGUCAGGCUGGAUUUUCCUGAGGACAUGAGGUGAAGAAGCAACCACUGCGAAGUACUAAGGCAAAAAAUGCUAAACUCCAAAUGGUUUAUUUGAAUCAAAGGAUGGGUCAGAAGUAUGUGCUCUGGAGCCACGCAAAUCUGCUUCAAAUUCCAGUUCUGCCAUUUAGAUAGCAGGUUAUCUACAGAUACAGAAACCAUCUAGGAGGUCUGGUGUUGGAUACAACUAUUUGUACCUUGUAAAAUUCUUACCUCUAAAUCAUUAAAAAACAAAUGAGUAUCAGCAAGAUUAAAAAUCAUUUCUUCCAUGCGGAGUCCAAGGGUUACAGCCAUGGGGGGAUCCUGUAAAGAAAAUGUACACAUAAUGAGCUUACUAAGUCACUGGGACAGCUAAUUCUAAGUGAGCAGAUUACAGCACUGCAUUUUUCCAGCUAAAGGACUCACAGAUCCAAGAAUCCCAGAAAGAUGACUGGACAUUUGGUGGGUGUAGCCUUAGCAAUGCUGGGCACCCUCCAUCUUGCCAAACUGCUGUGAGGGAGCUGCCAGCACCUGCAAUUCCACUGUUUUAUCAGACAUCAACCUCUUGAAACAGUUAUUCUUUUGGGACCCGUAGCAUAUGUGUAGACAUGUGCACACAAAGAUAGAAGAUAUGCAAGUUCAUCAUGGAAGAAAGAAGGCAGACCAGCUCCAUGAACCAAGGUGCAGCUCCCAGCUCACUAUACUUGAGGCCACUGCAGUGCCACUUCACAUGGUGCAGGAGUAAACAUUGACCUUGCAGGUCUGAAAACAUCUGCCUUUAGUUAUUUCUCAUUUUGGAGAAAGAAGAUUUUGAAACUGAAGAUUUAAGUAAUUUGCCAGAGUCAGAAUGCUGUAAGCAUCAGAACUCGAUUUUCGAACUUAAGUUUAUCUGACUCAAAAGCUUUUGCCUUUCACCACCACCCUAUUGCUUCUAAAAUGUCAAACAUCGGCUGAACCACAGGACAGGUAUCCUAUAAAUGAGGAGGAUGUGGAUGCACCCCCAUGUGUACGUAAGGACACACGAGCUAAAGGCUUUACCUGACCCAGUAAAAGUGUCAAGCGCUCCAUCUCCAGUCGUGGCUGUGGUUUCACUGCUGUUCAAGGGCUCUGUUUUGACUGCAAGAAGAGACACUACGUAGAAGAAUAAGUACAUGCUGGCUGGGAGAUGUGGCUCCUCUCCGCGGCACAGUGUCUAUAUCACUGAUCAGGUGGACAGAUAGUCCCAGAAGGAGGCCCUCACCAACCCAUUUCCCCAGACACAGUCAGAACUGGGGUCAGCUGCAGAGAUGGGAACCGCAAGAGGAAGGAGACCCUUAACAAGGACCAGGAAAGUGGUGUAUGCAUAAAGAAAGGAAGCUGUUCUUGAAAUGUGCCAGUGACCUCAUCCCUGUCCCUGAGGCCAGCAUGAGUGCUUGCAGUGCAAGUGACCCAUCUGCCAGGGUGACCUCAGGCCUCGGACUAACAGCAAAUAAAGCCAUGAACACACUGUUCUCUGGACACUUUUGCAAUUUUUCCUUUCCAGGGCCUACAGCUCUAGACUUGAGACCUGCAACUCUUCCCCUUUGUUCACUAUGACUCUAACAAAUUUAAAACAUGUCAGUUCUCUCCAACCCCAAGAAAUGUGAAUAAAUGUUUCCGAAAACCAGAAGCAUUUCCCUAAAUUUUUGUUUUUAAAAGUCCCCCUUAAUCGGAAA
rnacentral:lncRNA from 1 species